GGUGAGGUAGCCCAACGGAAGAGGCACGUGGUCGAGAGCCACGCCAGUGCGGGUUCGAAUCCCGCCCUCGCUA
rnacentral:tRNA from 1 species